AUCGAACGCUGGCGGCAGGCCUAAUACAUGCAAGUCGAACGAGUAGCGGACUGGUGAGUAAUGUAUGGGCAACUGCCUGAUCGAGGGGGAUAACUACUGGAAACGGUAGCUAAUACCGCAUACGAUCCGUUGUGCCCAGAUGGGAUUAGCUAGUAGGUGGGGUAAAGGCUCACCUAGGGGACGAUCCCUAGCUGGUCUGAGAGGAUGACCAGCCACACUGGAACUGAGACACGGUCCAGACUCCUACGGGAGGCAGCAGUGGGGAAUAUUGCGCAAUGGGCGAAAGCCUGAUGGAGCAAUGCCGCGUGAGUGAAGAAGGCUUUCGGGUUGUAAAGUACUUUUGGCGGGGAGGCGUUACCCGCAGAAGAAGCACCGGCUAACUCCGUGCCAGCAGCCGCGGUAAUUC
rnacentral:rRNA from 1 species